rnacentral:rRNA from 1 species
CGUAGGGUGCAGGCGUUAAUCGGAAUUACUGGGCGUAAAGCGUGCGCAGGCGGUCUCUUAAGACAGGUGUGAAAUCCCCGGGCUUAACCUGGGAACUGCGCUUGUAACUGAGAGGCUUGAGUGUGCCAGAGGGGGUGGAAUUCCACGUGUAGCAGUGAAAUGCGUAGAGAUGUGGAGGAACACCGAUGGCGAAGGCAGCCCCCUGGGGUAACACUGACGCUCAUGCACGAAAGCGUGGGGAGCAAACAGGAUUAGAUACCCUGGUAGUCCACGCCCUAAACUAUGUCAACUGGUUGUCGGGGAAGCAAUUCCUUGGUAACGAAGCUAACGCGUGAAGUUGACCGCCUGGGGAGUACGGCCGCAAGGUUA